UAGAUGGAGUUAGAGGGUUGAAAAGGGUUGUGGAGGAGAUGAGGAGGGAGAGGGAGCAGGAGAAGGAGAAAGAAAAGGAAAGGGACAAAGGAAAAGAAAUGAAAACCCUACCUUACAAGGCCACUCAUCUCAAUCUAGAACACAGCGACGAUGACGACAACGAACCGUUCCGCUCCCCCUCCCUACCCCCCAUCCUUCAUGCUCCGCACAGCCAACAGCGCCAGAGAAACAACAUCCCAUCCACAAUCUCUGGCACGCCCACAAUGACCCACCUCCCUAGCUCAGUACUAACCCGCAGCUCCCUCCCGCCACAAGCACCACACGAUGGCUACUCCGCCAUCCUCGUCCCAGAUUCCAUGCCACCCGCACCCCCAUCACCGCAUCCCGACCAAACCCCUGCCGCCCACUGCGAAUUCCAAACCUCUCCGCCACAACUCCCCCGCUCCCCCAUAGCUCAACCCCCAGGAAAAUUCGAAUGCGCGAAUAUAGAAAAGGCAAAAGAAGAUGAAGUCCAGGCUCCGCGACAGGGGCCUGGCGAAACUCUUGGGUCGUAUAUGGAACGCUGUCGGGUGGUGUUAUCGCGAUGUCCACGGGG
rnacentral:sRNA from 1 species